rnacentral:rRNA from 1 species
GACGAACGCUGGCGGCGUGCCUAAUACAUGCAAGUAGAACGCUGAAGGAAGGAGCUUGCUCUUUCUGGAUGAGUUGCGAACGGGUGAGUAACGCGUAGGUAACCUGCCUGGUAGCGGGGGAUAACUAUUGGAAACGAUAGCUAAUACCGCAUAAAAUUGAUUAUUGCAUGAUAGUCAAUUAAAAGGUGCAACUGCACCACUACCAGAUGGACCUGCGUUGUAUUAGCUAGUUGGUGGGGUAACGGCUCACCAAGGCGACGAUACAUAGCCGACCUGAGAGGGUGAUCGGCCACACUGGGACUGAGACACGGCCCAGACUCCUACGGGAGGCAGCAGUAGGGAAUCUUCGGCAAUGGACGGAAGUCUGACCGAGCAACGCCGCGGGAGUGAAGAAGGGUGUCGGAUCGUAAAGCUCUGUUGUAAGAGAAGAACGAGUGUGAGAGUGGAAAGUUCACACUGUGACGGUAGCUUACCAGAAAGGGACGGCUAACUACGUG